rnacentral:rRNA from 1 species
AACGAACGCUGGCGGCAUGCCUAACACAUGCAAGUCGAACGAGACCUUCGGGUCUAGUGGCGCACGGGUGCGUAACGCGUGGGAACCUGCCUUUAGGUUCGGAAUAACUCAGAGAAAUUUGAGCUAAUACCGGAUGAUGUCUUCGGACCAAAGAUUUAUCGCCUUUAGAUGGGCUCGCGUUGGAUUAGCUAGUUGGUGGGGUAAAGGCCUACCAAGGCGACGAUCCAUAGCUGGUCUGAGAGGAUGAUCAGCCACACUGGGACUGAGACACGGCCCAGACUCCUACGGGAGGCAGCAGUGGGGAAUAUUGGACAAUGGGCGAAAGCCUGAUCCAGCAAUGCCGCGUGAGUGAUGAAGGCCUUAGGGUUGUAAAGCUCUUUUACCCGAGAUGAUAAUGACAGUAUCGGGAGAAUAAGCUCCGGCUAACUCCGUG